rnacentral:rRNA from 1 species
ACGCACGCUGGCGGCGUGCUUAACACCUGCCAGUCGUACGGUAAGGCCCUUUCGGGGGUACACGAGUGGCGAACGGGUGAGUAACACGUGAGUAACCUGCCCACAACUUUGGGAUAACGCUAGGAAACUGGUGCUAAUACUGGAUAUGUGCUCCUGCUGCAUGGUGGGGGUUGGAAAGCUCCGGCGGUUGUGGAUGGACUCGCGGCCUAUCAGCUUGUUGGUGGGGUAGUGGCCUACCAAGGCGGCGACGGGUAGCCGGCCUGAGAGGGUGACCGGCCACAUUGGGACUGAGAUACGGCCCAGACUCCUACGGGAGGCAGCAGUGGGGAAUAUUGCACAAUGGGCGCAAGCCUGAUGCAGCAACGCCGCGGGCGGGAUGACGGCCUUCGGGUUGUAAACCGCUUUCAGCAGGGACGAAGCUUUUUGUGACGGUACCUGCAGAAGAAGCACCGGCUAACUACGUG